rnacentral:rRNA from 1 species
GUGGGGAAUCUUGCGCAAUGGGCGAAAGCCUGACGCAGCCAUGCCGCGUGAAUGAUGAAGGUCUUAGGAUUGUAAAAUUCUUUCACCGGGGACGAUAAUGACGGUACCCGGAGAAGAAGCCCCGGCUAACUUCGUGCCAGCAGCCGCGGUAAUACGAAGGGGGCUAGCGUUGCUCGGAAUUACUGGGCGUAAAGGGCGCGUAGGCGGACAGUUUAGUCAGAGGUGAAAGCCCAGGGCUCAACCUUGGAAUUGCCUUUGAUACUGGCUGUCUUGAGUACGGGAGAGGUGAGUGGAACUCCGAGUGUAGAGGUGAAAUUCGUAGAUAUUCGGAAGAACACCAGUGGCGAAGGCGACAUACUGGUCCAUUACUGACGCUGAGGCUCGAAAGCGUGGGGAGCAAACAGGAUUAGAUACCCCUGUAGUCC